CAGUCGCCACGGUAAUACAGAGGGUGCGAGCGUUAAUCGGAUUUACUGGGCGUAAAGCGUGCGUAGGCGGCUUUUUAAGUCGGAUGUGAAAUCCCUGAGCUUAACUUAGGAAUUGCAUUCGAUACUGGGAAGCUAGAGUAUGGGAGAGGAUGGUAGAAUUCCAGGUGUAGCGGUGAAAUGCGUAGAGAUCUGGAGGAAUACCGAUGGCGAAGGCAGCCAUCUGGCCUAAUACUGACGCUGAGGUACGAAAGCAUGGGGAGCAAACAGGAUUAGAUACCCGGGUAGUCCCUGUCUCUUAUAC
rnacentral:rRNA from 1 species